ensembl:rRNA 5S_rRNA 5S ribosomal RNA
GUCUAUGGUCACACCACCCUGAAUGCGCCCAAUCUCGUCUGAUCUCAGAAGCUAAGCAGGGUCAUGCCUGGUUAGUACUUGGAUGGGAGACCACCUAGGAAUACAAGGUGCUGUAGACC